rnacentral:rRNA from 1 species
CCUACGGGUGGCUGCAGUAAGGAAUAUUGGACAAUGGAGGGAACUCUGAUCCAGCCAUGCCGCGUGCAGGAUGAAGGCGCUCAGCGUUGUAAACUGCUUUUGAAUGGGAACAAAAAGGCGGACGCGUUCCGUCACUGAGGGUACCAUUAGAAUAAGCACCGGCUAACUCCGUGCCAGCAGCCGCGGUAAUACGGAGGGUGCAAGCGUUAUCCGGAAUCACUGGGUUUAAAGGGUGCGUAGGCGGUGAGGUAAGUCAGUUGUGAAAUCGCUGGGCU